ensembl:lncRNA
GUUGGCAUAUUCUGUAUGAUGCAACACGCAGCAAAUUAUAUAGACAAGGCAACAUCACAGGGUCAGGCACUCACCUCCGUGGCUGAGGGUUUCCUGGCAGUCUUUCCCCCUCCCCAGCUCUUGCCUACACUAGCUUAAUAAUCAGUUUGCAUCAUUUUAAGUAUGAGAACUGCGAGGAAAUCCUUAAUUUGAAAUUUAGCCAAAAUGUGGUUUCUGUAUUAAAAGAGACUUUCUUCACAGGAGCAUUGCAAGAACAAAGGUGAACUUCCCUUUACAUCCAAGAAUAUUUGGGAAGUGAUUUAAACUGAAUGAGAAGUUAGCUCUACUUACUUACCUGGAGGAAAUGAGAAUGGAAGGGAUGUUAGCUGACUUGUUCAGAGACACAGUUGAGCACAGGCUCCAGGGCAUGAGGGCUCAGCAGUUGUGGCAUAUGAGUCUAGUUACCCCAUGGCAUGUGGAAUCUUCCCAGACCACGGAUCAAACCCAUGUCCCCUGCUUUGGCAGGUGGAUUCUUAACCACUGGAACACCAGAGUGCCUCGGAAUCACCUGGAAGGCUUGUUAAAACACAGGUUGCAGAAAUUCCUUCCUCUCUGACUGCUUGGGAACUGAAACAUCAGCUUUCCCCUGUCUUUGGACUUAAACGGAAACAUUGGCUCUUCCUGGGUCAUGAGCCUGCCAAUCUUUGGACAGGAACUCCAUCAUCAGCUCUCCUGGGUCUCUAGCUUGCUGACUCACUCUGCAGAUCUUGGGACUUGUUGGUCUCUGUAAUGACAUGAGCCAAUGU